CACGAUUUAAAAAAAAGAAACAUUCUUUCCGUUUCUGUAAAUUUCUUAAAGAACAAGAAAAGUUUGAACUAGAUUUUUUGUGGAGAAAACAACCCGAUUUAAAAUGCACCAGAAUGAAUUACCUAUGAUGCGUUUAUUGAAUAUAUCUCAAUACAAACAGUAUGAAAUAUCACUGUCCGUACAAUAGCUUAUUUUGCGCAAAAAUAGAAUAUAGUGUAUGAUGGCAUCAGUAGUUUACCGAUGCAAGUUCAAGUUUCAUUUAUUCAUUAAGAAUAUACUAUUCAAAGUAAAAAAACUGGGAAAAUCGAAUGAACCCAAAAAAGGAACGAGACACGGUGCAAAGCAAAGUGAGCGAAAACGUAUGAUUAUAUUUCUAUGAACAAAAACAAGGGUGCAUGUCUAUAAAUAACAUUCAGAUACACUCCAUACCAAAAGAUCGAAAGGGCAAAAUAUGAAACAUUGGUGAUUCAGAAAACGGAGGUAAAAUAGAAAAGAAUGAAGCCAAUACAAUUACAUGUCAAUGUUUUCUCUUAGAACUCAUCAGUCUUAACUUUAGCGCAAUUAUAUUAUAUAAUGACCGUCAAAGGGUGGGUACAUUCAGUCAUGAUUAAACUAUAUAGCAACCUUAAAUCUUUUGGUUAACUGACAACAGGACAUGCCGCCAUCAAUUUCAGCUGAGUUGCAAAAAUGAAAAAGUUUAAAUAGCAUGAUCACACUUGAAAUUACAAACUAGCGAAUAUCUUGUCAAUGCCAGAUUCAUAACUUAAAAUUGUUUUAACUUCCACUAGUAUAUGUCAUUUGGUCUCGUUUUCAGUCAAAACACAACUUCCUAAUUUUAUAUUCAUGUUUUAAAAGUAUCCAUAAUGGUUAUACUUAUUCUUGAACAAUUUGUGUUUUUGGUUACUGGUAUUCUUUAUUAUUUUUUCCUUAAUCCUUACAUCUCUUCGUCAAGGAUUAUAAUUAUUGUCAGACGUGUGUUCAAUAUAUUAUUCAAAUGAAAAUGGGACAUUUGCUCGCCACAAUGUGUUUGUAAAAUCAGUCAAAUGUGAGAAAUUGAAGCAUUUAAUUGUCGUUGUUACUAGUUAUGUCAGCCUGAGGUCUUUGUCAAUUUUGAAAUAUGUUCAUUUUCGUUCAACUGUUUUGCAAAUAAACUCACCAUA
rnacentral:lncRNA from 1 species